AGUGACACACCGAUCUCAGUACAUACUAAGUGCUAAUAUAUCUAUGUAUGUAUGUGUAUGUGAGCAAAUGCAAUUAGAAAGCAGUAACAAAGAAAGUCUAAAGAAAUGCUUGCAACGAUCUGCGCUAUUGCUAUUUAUUUACCUUUGUUGACGUAGGUCAAUAACUUAUUGAGUUGUGUCGAUGAUAUUAAAAAGCAUAAGUAAGUUAAGUGUGCACUAAAAAACGUGAAGAAAAGUAAGAAAUUAAUUAUUUGAGCUAUUCAAACGUACAACAAACAAAACAAUCAAUUCAAGCAACAAUAGAAGUAGAAGGUACGAACAAGAUAAGUAUAACAGCAGCGCGAUAACAACAAUUGUUACCGGACAUUUCUAACCAGCACUAGGCAGAGAGGUGUAAAGUGAAGUCAGCAUACGAAAAGUGGCAUCAGCGGCAAACACAACGAGCUGUUUACACGCACACCUUUGCACAUAUUGCUACUUCCACUUUGUUCGCAUUCUUGAAUUUUUGCUGUCCGUUGCCAGCAAGUCGCAUACAUGAACUUGGUGCGACUGUGUGCCGGCAGAAAGCAGGUUUUCCUAUAGUGGAAGGUAGGAAGAUAUGUAAAAAGUAAUUACAAGCAACAUACAUACAUAUGUACAUAUAUAUAGAUGUAUUAAUGUGCAUUUGCGCGUAUGUGUAAAUAAAAGAAGUGAGAUCAAGUCGUAGAUCAAAAAGGGUAACGAGUAGAGCGGUGACAGUUGCAAGAGAAAACGAAUUGUGCAGAAAAUUUCCAAGCCAAUUAGUGUAAAUGUUAAGAAAAUAUAAAAUUAAAUAAAUACUAGUGCAUUUUUCUGUAAUUGCAGUGCGUUUUUUUGCGAGUGUAAAGAGUGCAACAUAAUUAACCGGUAGUGUUUUACCGCAAUCUUGUGCUUGCAAAGUUGUUCAACGACUUUGCAGUAGUUUUCGACAAUUUUUAGUGAAAUCGUGCUGUGCCACAAUAAAAAGCGCACGACUUGAACGGAAUUCAACGCAAAACCACUACAACACUUUUGUGCAACAGCAGCAUUAACAACAACCAAGUUUAUACAAAAAAAGACUACCAACGUAAAGCAUUUGCCAAAAGUUCUGACUACGGCAGCACCUACUUUUGGGCACUUCAAUUCGAGUGCAUAGCCAGCUGCACCUACGUUUGCAAGCCGGAAAUGCCAGCGUGCUAAGUAACUUGUGAAAGUCGCCAACUCCUUUGUACUGUGCUUUUGAGUGCUUGGUUGCAUACAUAUACUAAAUCCUUUCACAUUGUGCCGACUUUUAGUGUUUUCUUGGAAUAUUGAGUCAGCCCUACAUUUGUGCGUUCCUAGCGUUGAUUCAUCUUAACUGGGCAAUAAAUAAACGACAUCUACAGAACGGAAGCUGCCGCACUUGCAACAAUUGCAGUGGCAUAUUUCUUGACUGCUGACUUCGUUUUCCUGCGGGCAGUGGAUAGCGCUUUUUAAGCUGUAUAUCCACAUAUCAUUUUCUGUCCCCAACUUUUUAAUGCAAUAAUUAUGUCAUGGGAUCUUGUACGCGACGACACUUUAUGCUGUCAACAUGCUUGCUGCAAAUGAUAACAAUCAUCGAACGCCAAGUAUUCGACUUUCUCGGAUAUAUGUGGGCGCCCAUUUUGGUCAAUUUCUUUCACAUAAUUUUCAUUAUUUUGGGAUUUUAUGGAGCAUAUCACUUUAGAAUAAAAUAUAUAAUAACCUAUUUAAUAUGGAGCUUCAUUUGGAUCGGUUGGAAUGCUUUUCUCAUAUGCUUUUACCUGAAUGUAGGCAUAUUGGAUCGGGACAGCGACCUGCUAAAUUUGGGCACCGGUAGCGUCUCCUGGUUCGAGGUGAACGGUUAUGGUUGCAAGCCAACAUAUCCAGUCAAUAUCACCUCCGAUGAUCCAUUUCGUCCAAUACGUCCGGAACGUGUGGACGAUUGCUUAUUAGAUUAUACUAUAGUCGAAAUUGUGCAGUCGGGUGUGCAAUGCGCUUUAGCGUUACUUGGUAUUUUAGGCGCCAUAUUAAUAAGUUACAUAUUCCUCGAUGAAGAUGACAGAUUCGAUUUCGUGAAUGGCGACGCCAAGAGUCCCCAGCACACGGUGGUCCAUCCAAUGUACGUGAGCUACAGCAGCAUACCGACCUCGGCUAGCGCUAGCGCUACAUUGCUCUCAAAUAAGCAUCACAACAAUCACCAAGCACCACUUAACAAUAACAACCACAACCACCAAAUUCAUGCGCAACAACAGCAACUGCAACUGCAGCAGCAACAACUCCACCAUCAUCAGCAACCAAAUAAUUUUAACAGUAACACAUUUCUAAUACACACAAACAGCAUCAGCAACAACAGCCAUAGCCAUAGUCAUAGUCAAGGUCAGAGUCAGAGACAGAGUCACAGUCACAGUCAGAGCAAUAGUCGCAGCCGCAGCCACAGCCGCAGCAAUAGCCGCAGCAAUAGCCAGAGCGGUGGCAAUGGCGUCGGUGUCGGCGGUGGCGGUGGCGGCGGCGCGUCAAAGAAAGGUCGUGGCGGCGGCGAUGGCAACAGCAACUAUCACAGCGCGAGCAAAAAUAGCACUUUAACCCGCAUACUUUACAGUCCGAAGAGUAGCAAUAAGAUCGGCGCCACGACGGGCAAUACGAUUGUGGUGGCGACGGAGAUGUUGCAGCGGCAGCAAUCGCUGCCACAGACGCAUACCGCUAAUUUGCAUGGCGCGCAGCAUUAUUAUGACGACAGCACCGCCAAGGCGGAUCAGCUGUAUACGAACAGCAAUCGACGACAGUUCUUGAACGGCGCAACAACAUAUCAACAACAACAGCAAGUUGGCACACCGAACUCCUCGACGCACGACAACACGACCUCGUCGCUCUCGUACGCUUCGCUGCAGAAUUCCAAUUUGAAUUUGACACAGAGCUUGCGCGGUGUCGGCGGCGGCGCGGCCCCCGGUGUUGGGUUCGGUUACGCAGGCAGCGGCGGAGACUGGUAGACUACGAUUGCUGAGUUGAUUUAUUGCUCUCACAUUAACGGUUGAAUGGUUGUUAAAGCUUCUAUCAAACACACACACACACUCUCUCUCAAGCUGCUCAAAUGCGCGCUUUCGCACACAAACUCAGCGUGCGCUCUCAAACCUAAAUACUCUCUCUCUCACCCACUCAAUUGAAACGUUACUGUUAAUUAGCAUGCCUGCGCUCUCAUCGCUCUCUCGUCGCGUCAUUGUUGUUGUGCGCGAUGCAAGCGUAUACGCCACGCUUUUUGCAUGCGCUGAUGUUGCUGUUGCUACUAAAGAGAUGUUGCCGCAACAUGUUGCUAAAUGCAUAGAAAUCGCAUUGUCAAGCGGCUGCCAAGUAAAAAUUAAGGCAUGUUAGCAAGAAGUCCAAGCACCGCCAAUCGCUCUACUCCAUCGAAUUCGGACCCAGCAUCGACACGAUACGCAGUCGCGCCG
rnacentral:misc_RNA from 1 species